UUUUUAUAGAAAAAAGGUAGACGUAAGCACUGUUAGGCAAUACUAUCAGGAAACAGAUACGACUUUAUCAUGGUUAUCAGGGUUAACAGAGGACUGGUGUUCGUCUUCUGUCUUCUGAAGACCUUCCUGGAAUUCGGUAUGGUAUUUGCGUUUGGAGCUUUCUUCGUUGAGCUUCUUGACAAAUUCCAGAAAGAUCGCGCAACAACUGCAACUGUGCAAUCACUUCUUGUUGGAGUAACUUUAUGCUUCGGUGUUGUCGGCGGAGCACUCAUCAGUAAAGCAGGACUGCCAUUGGUUACGCUUCUAUCUUGUAUACUCGUUCCACUUGGUUUUGGUGCCUCUUUCUUUGCUACCAGAAUAGAGCAUCUAUACAUAAGCAUCGGCAUUGUAUCAGGAGUUGGAGUUUCAAUGGGAUAUGUCAGUGCUGUUGUGAUAGUUGGUAGAAUUUUUACAAGAAAGAAGAGAGUUCUGUUUUUAGCUAUGCUGAGUGCUUCCUCUCCGUUAGCUGGAUUGGUCUACCCGUAUUUUCUAAACUGGUUGAUGACAUUGUUUGAUCUUAAUGAGACGUUUCUAAUCCUUGGAGCUAUUUAUAGUAACACGUUCCCAUUGUUCAUAUUAUGUUGGAUGAAUCGGAGCACACUUAAAGAUGUUGCAUUGUCUUCGACGGUUUCUCAAGAUAAUACAAAUACAGAAAAUGAGACACAAGUCCCCACAAUAAGGCAUAAAGAAAAUUUUAUCAUAAACGGUGUUAAAACAUUGAGAGAAAUGGUGAACAUAACCUACCUCUUGUUACUUUUUGCUGUCGCCAUUUCAGUUGCUGGCAUAAAUGGGUAUUCGGGGAUAAUUCUUGAUAUUAGUAGAUGGAAAGGUUUAAGUAAAUCUCAGGGACUGUUUACAUUUGUCAUUUUCAACAUCGCUAACACAAUAUCAAGACUUGUACCGGGUUUGCUUAAACAAAAGAAUGGAUUCAAUUCUUUUAUGUACCCGAUUAUUUCCACUAUAUCUGGUUGUGUCGGGCAGUUAUUUCUUUAUAAAGGACAAAGCUAUGUUUUGUAUGUGUUAGGAACUUCUCUGACUGGCGUUGCAAUUGGCGGAGUUGUUUCAGCACAAUUGAUUCUUGUAUUAAAAGCAGUACGUCCAGAGUUUAUUCCAGUAGCAACAGGACUACUUUUUACAGUGACGGGUGUAAUAUCUGCUACAACAGGCCCGACAUUUGAUAGAUGGUGUUCAUUUCAACAACUUGGGAUUUGAAUUUUUUCCGAAAUGUGAGAGGAAUAAUUUUGAAGUGCUUUGCAGAUAUGUAAUUCACACAUGUGCUGGAAGAUACUGCAUUCUAAUUGGUGGCACAUUUGUAACUAUAUUAUCAUAUAACAGUAAGUAUAGACAUAGUAAGUAUAUUAGCCGUCAUAUAUGAUAGAACCAAACCCAUAUGCGGUCCAUUUCAGUUAGAUAAACAAGACUUUCUGCAGGCUUAUGAACAUGGCAGAUCUUGUAUAUCACAAAUUUUCUGUCCGUUUGUGGUAAAAGACUAAAUGUAGUUAAAUGGACUAAUAGAAUUAUAAAGUCUAAACACAUUGUCUGUAUUUGUUUAUAUAGUUUAAAUGUAGUUAAAUGGACUACUAGAAUUAUAAAAUCUAGACAUAUUGUCUGUAUUUGUUUAUAUUCUGUUCCACUAUAUAAAUAAUGGUUACAGACAAGUAAUAUGCAGUCAAAUACACCGCAAGUUGUCAAAUGGACAAUAAAAAAUUAUUGUUUUUGACAGCUGUCUACAUUUAUGUAAUCAAAUGGGCUGCAUGGAGUCUAAUGGGCUACUAAGUCUAUGUUACUCAGAUAUUUUGUCCGUAUUGAUGUAGUCAAAUGGACUACAGUGUAGUCAGAUGGACUACUUUGUAUAGUCAGAUGGACUUCUUUGUAUAGUCAAAUGGACUAUAUGUAGUCAUAUGGACUACUUUAUUUAGUCGAUGGAUUAUUUUUACUGUAUGGUUAAACACAGGAUGACUGUCAUACACUUGUAAAAUGUUACAAGGAGAGAUUAUUGUAAAUACAGUAUUAUCUCGUGGAAGUUGAUCUUUACAUGCUCUCUUAGUAAGUAUAGAUAUAGUAAGUAUAUUAGCCUGUCAUAUAUGAUAGAACCAAACCCAUAUGGGGUCCAUUUCAGUUAGAUAAACAAGACUUUCUACAUGCUUAUGAACAUGGCAGAUCUUGUAUAUCACAAAUUUUCUGCCCGUUUGUGGCAAAAGACUAAAUGUAAGUAAAUGGACUAAUAGAAUUAUAAAGUCUAAACACAUUGUUUGAAUUUGUUUAUACGUUUGUGGCCAAUUAGUUUAUAUGUAGUUAAAUGGUCUACUAGAAUUAUAAAAUCUAGACAUAUUGUCUGUACUUUCUUAUAUUCUGUUCCACUAUAUAAAUAAUGGUUACAGACAAAUAAUCUGCAGUCAAAUACACCGCAAGUUGUCAAAUGGACAACAAAAAAUGAUUGUACUUGACAGCUGUCUACAUUUAUGUAGUCAAAUGGGCUGCAUGGAGUCAAAUGGGCUACUAAGUCUAUGUUACUCAGAUAUUUUGUCCGUAUUGGUGUAGUCAAAUGGACUACAGUGUAGUUAGAUGGACUACUUUGUAUAGUCAGAUGGACUUCUUUGUAUAGUCAAAUGGACUUUAUGUAGUCAUAUGGACUACUUUAUUUAGUCGAUGGAUUAUUUAUACUGUAUGGUUAAACACAGGAUGACUGUCAUACACUUGAAAAAUGUUACAAGAAGAGAUUGUUGUAAAUACAGUAUUUCUCGUGGAAGUUGAUCUUUACAUGCUCUCGUACAUGGUUUUCUAUUUCAUAUACCACCAAGACAGCGAAGGCUGCUGCAGCUGAGGAAGCUGCUAAAACCAAACGAAGAACAAACCAAAUUGAGCAGGUUUCAAAAGCUAACACAUCCAAUUUAUCAGAAAAAGACUUGAACACAAUUAUAUCAAAUGUUGUUCCUGCUGUCACACAAGGUAGCCUGAGAGACAAUUCCGGUACUUAUGAAAGCGUUGUUCUUACCGUCAGUGUCGUAGAGGCGAUUGCAGCGAUUCUCUUUGUCCUUGCUCUAGUCUACAGACGAAUUGAUAAUGCUAAAAAGCAAUCAGAG
rnacentral:misc_RNA from 1 species